rnacentral:rRNA from 1 species
AGAGUUUGAUUCCUGGCUCAGGAUGAACGCUGGCGGCGUGCCUAACACAUGCAAGUCGAACGAAGCUCUCUUGUUGAUUUUUUCGGAAUGAUUCAAGAGAUGACUUAGUGGCGGACGGGUGAGUAACGCGUGGAUAACCUGCCCUUUGCAGGGGGAUAACAGUUAGAAAUGACUGCUAAUACCGCAUAAGCGCACACUACCGCAUGGUAGAGUGUGAAAAGCCGAGACGGCAAAGGAUGGGUCCGCGUCUGAUUAGCUAGUUGGUGAGGUAACGGCCCACCAAGGCGACGAUCAGUAGCCGGCCUGAGAGGGCGACCGGCCACAUUGGGACUGAGACACGGCCCAGACUCCUACGGGAGGCAGCAGUGGGGAAUAUUGCACAAUGGGGGAAACCCUGAUGCAGCGACGCCGCGUGAGCGAAGAAGUAUUUCGGUAUGUAAAGCUCUAUCAGCAGGGAAGAUAAUGACGGUACCUGACUAAGAAGCUCCGGCUAAAUACGUGCCAGCAGCCGCGGUAAUACGUAUGGAGCAAGCGUUAUCCGGAUUUACUGGGUGUAAAGGGAGCGCAGGCGGCGGAGUAAGUCUGAUGUGAAAGAUCGGGGCCCAACCCCGGGACUGCAUUGGAAACUGCUUUGCUAGAGUAUCGGAGGGGUAAGCGGAAUUCCUGGUGUAGCGGUGAAAUGCGUAGAUAUCAGGAGGAACACCGGUGGCGAAGGCGGCUUACUGGACGAUAACUGACGCUGAGGCUCGAAGGCGUGGGGAGCAAACAGGAUUAGAUACCCUGGUAGUCCACGCCGUAAACGA